rnacentral:lncRNA from 1 species
GGAGGAAGAAGAGCUCAGAUAGAAAAGGAGGGAGCUACUCUCAGGCUGCAAGCAGUGACAGUGCCCAGGGCUCUGAUGUGUCCCUCACAGCUUGUAAAGUGUGAGACAGCUGCCUUGUGUGGGACUGAGAGGCAAGAGUUGUUCCUGCCCUUCCCUUUGUGACUUGAAGAACCCUGACUUUGUUUCUGCAAAGGCACCUGCAUGUGUCUGUGUUCGUGUAGGCAUAAUGUGAGGAGGUGGGGAGACCACCCCACCCCCAUGUCCACCAUGACCCUCUUCCCACGCUGACCUGUGCUCCCUCCCCAAUCAUCUUUCCUGUUCCAGAGAGGUGGGGCUGAGGUGUCUCCAUCUCUGUCUCAACUUCAUGGUGCACUGAGCUGUAACUUCUUCCUUCCCUAUUAAAAUUAGAACCUUAGUAUAAAUUUACUUUCUCAAAUUCUUGCCAUGAGAGGUUGAUGAGUUAAUUAAAGGAGAAGAUUCCUAAAAUUUGAGAGACAAAAUAAAUGGAAGACAUGAG